ACAAUGGAUAUCUCGGCUCUCACAUCGAUGAAGAACGUAGUGAAAUACGAUACUUGGUGUGAAUUGUAGAAUCCCAUGAAUCAUCGAGUCUUUGAAUGCAAGUUGCGCCCGAAGCCAUUAGGCUGAGGGCACGUCUGCUUGGGUGUCACGC
rnacentral:rRNA from 1 species